ACAUAGAGGCGAUGGACUUCACUACAUUCUCAUGACUCACUGUUAUGUAACGAGCAGCAAGUUGAUUGCAACUGCUCUGGAUACCUGGCAGAAGAACUUAAGGACACACAAAAAGUUCCAGACAUUUGUUAGAGAUGGAUAUGGACAAAAUGGCACCUGCACUAUUCUGGUACCUGUGAACCCUGUGGCAUGCUGGCUUAGCACUUAGGCCACCAGACAAGAACGGCACCACUCUGCUUGAGGAAUGAGCUCUUCACACUAACUGUUCACAGCACCAUUCUGAAAUGUCUUUGUCUGAGGCAAAGCUGCCCUGAGGAUGUUAAUACUGCAAUUCACAGACCUUUUGUUAGGCAAUAAGACCCAAAAUGACCUUUUCUACCUAGAUCUGCUGCUGCCAAAGAGAAUGAUCCAGAGAUCUUUGGAGCAGUGUAUGCACUUAGACUAUAGUAGCAAGAAAUCCAGGAUGCUGUAUAGAAGACAAUGUCUACAGAAGAUUUUGAGCUCCUGAGAGAAUGGCCCUAAGUACGUUCAGCAGGCACUAAUAAAGCCUGGCCUUUAUAUGCAUGGAGUUGGCUUGCCUGGAUUCAAGUCCCAGCCCCACCACAGCUUGAUACUCAACCUUGGGUGAAUGUUCCACUGAAGUGCACCAGGUGGUCCAGGAAUGGCUGCCUUAGUGCUCCAUCCUCAGAAGAAAACCUCUUCACUGCUUGCUUUAAAAUGCAUAUAUAUUUAUGCCAAAGGCCCUAGACCUGCCCUCAAGAAAAGAUGAGAAUGAGCCUCACAUUCCUACGAUGAAGCGGUGGAAAAAUCUGCAAUUUGUACUUAGCACAUCUUUAACUGGACUUAACAAUGUGCCCCCUCCAUUCAGGAUACAGCAUGCAUGAGCCUGGUAGAUGAUGAAACUGCUGUUUUCUUUUGUGGUUUGUAUUUUCCCAAAGAGCCUUGAAUAGUCAAAUAUCAGGUGAUUUGAACCCGCUAGAAUAUGGCAAUGAAAUGAAGUCUUUUUUCUUUGAAACAAAAUUAUUUUAGGUAAGUGAGUAUGUAGAAAUCUCAAAUAAGGUGUGGUAUUCAACAAAAGAAAAAACACUGAUAACAAGUGUUUUUACCCUUGUAAUUGUCCAUUUUGGUCAUUCUUAGUGUUCUAGCAAUUGCUUUUAAAAAUGAGUGUAUUUGAAACAUGCAAUACUACAACUGGAGAAAGAAAAUCCUUUAAUAUAAAAAGUUGCCACGAUUAAAGAGUUUUGCAAAAUUUCUUGGUUAUUAAUAAGAUUUGGAAACUUUGAGCUUCCAUAGUCUAACUUUUUAAAAUGAGAGGUGUUUGUGUGUAAGGAAGGGGGAAUUUAUGAAACUAUAUGCAAAACUGUGCAUGCAUAUGCAUAUGUUUGUGUUCUAGAGAAAGGCUUCUUGGCUUUCAUCAGUUCCCAGGAGGGUUUGUGACAGGAACAAUUCCCAAUGUGCCUGUUUCAUUUUUCUUUCCCACACCAAUCCUCCCUUUCUUCUUUGCAGUCAAUAGUGCUCUAUUUUUCCCUUCCCAGAUGAACUGCUCUUUUUGUUUUCUGAUCAAGUGAGGCUGAGCCAGGGGAGCUCAGGAGCUGGAGCCCUGAUGGUGCUGGUGGCAGACAGAUGGCAAGGCUGCUAGGAGUUGUGCAGUGAGUGGCCUCUGGAUGAGCUGUUAGGAAGAUGGACGGUGUCACCUUGACCCACCCUGAAUAGCAUCUUCCAGAAGGGAAAUGGGGCAUCCAAGAUGCCACCCAUGUAGCCAAACUUCCAUUACACUGAGGAUAGGUCAAAUAAGACUGUCAAGGGGAAAAACUGACUUGGACAGUAGUUUUCCCUAAAUACUUUACUGUUAUCUUUUUUUCAUUCAAUUUUAUUUUCACUUGAUGUCUGGAUAUAUUAGUUUUCCCUAAAUACUUUACUGUUAUUUUUCUUCAUUCAAUUUUAUUUUCAUUUGAUGUUUGGGGGGAUAUUUUCCCCAUUUUCCUUAGUUUCUAUAUCCACUGCAACAUCCUAACACUCUAAUUUGCUUUCUAUGAGACAAACAGGAAGUAUUGCUUCUGGCAAGAUAGGGUUUUCUGUCCUGUUGAUUGAUGGGUUAAUUUUUAUUGAGCACAGUGUGCUACCAACAGAACCAAAAAUCCAAGACAGAAUUCCAGCUCUAGGAAUUUAUGUUCUAAUGAAAAGUAAGACAGACAACACAAGCAAUCCUCCCAGUGUAUUUUUUAAUGAAUAUUUCCUUCUAUUUCUCUCUCUUAAAGUGAGUCUACCUAAGCCAAAAGUACAUAAUAAGGCAACCAUACAGAUAAGUUGGGCCCCAAAACAUGCUCUUUUUUACAAAAAGAGCCAACUGGAUCAGGAAGCCAGAGGUGGGGGGGCAGUUUCAUCAAAAGAAUUUCACUAAUCAUAUUCGCUGAGUGUUGUUCUGUGUUGGAAUUUAAGGGUCAAACAUUUCUCUAGAUUAUUUUGGUUCUAUUCUAUGUCAAGUUAAAUUAUGUCAAGUUAGAUUAAAGAAAGUUACAUUUUUGGACUAUGUAAGUAGUUUAACCCCACACAGAAACCCCUUCACUGAAAUACAACUCAAUACUGUAUGGCUUAAAUUCAUCAAGGAGCUGAUGAUUUUAAAAUAGUUAUUUGAACAAUGUUUCAUUGUCCCUCAUUUCUGUGUCUAUGAUAUAAGGAUUCAUAUGAUCAUGUCUUCAGGAAGUUAGUGGUCCCCAAAAAGAAGUUACCCAUUCCACACCAUUCUCUUUCCUUUCAUCAAGCACUCAAAGCUAAGUAAUCCAGAGUGUUUUCCAAUUUUCUCAGAGCGGAUUUCAGUGCUUAAAUGAAAUGUCUCACCUCUGAAUCAGACACAAUAUUUCUGAGCCACCAUUUCCUCAUUUAUAAAAUGAAAUGUAUUGGAGAUGAUGAUCUUUUAAGAUUCAUUCCAGCUCUGAACCACCAUACACACACACACACACACACACACACACUCACUCACACACACACACACACACACCCUCUUAUAUGACUUCUGAUCUCAUUCAUAUCUUUAUUUAAUUGCAACAGAAGCUACAUAAGAGCCUGGGCCAUGUCUGUCUUGUUCACCCAUAUAUUCCCCUGUUCCUGGCACAUAAAUGGAGUACACUAAAUAUAUCUUGAAUGAAUAAAUUACCUAAUGCUCAUAGCAAUGUGUUCUGUUGCGAGAUGCCUUGAAUCCUUCUUUGGAAGGAAGCAAAGUCCAUAUUAUAAAUUAUCAUGACCUAUUUGUAUAUAAAUCUUACAUCAUACUUAACAAUCUUACAUUUACUCUGCCUGUGUAGCUACAGAUAAAAUUCUGGCAUUUCUUCCUCCUACCUUUUUUUUGUACUGAAGUCAUCCUGUUGCAUACCUUUUUCAUAAAAUUUCAGUUUAAAAAUAAAGCUAAAACUCAGGACAUGAAACUUGCAUGCAGGUAACUAGAGCUUGGGCUGCUGGGAAAGACCAGUGAGGCCAUGUCUGCUGCCACCAAACCUACCAGCUGACAGCUGGUCCAACAACAACACAAAGGGAACAAGGCUCCUUGCUCCCUAACCUAACAAUGUUAAAUUGCCCUGCCCCCCAAUAAUGGGUCUGAUCCUAAAGAACUAGGCAGAAUGAGCCAACCACAGCCCCAGAGGCCCCCAAAGCUCACACUGCUCAUUGAAAGGGUCCAUGGUGAGGGGUAGGGUCAAGACACCUCUAACAAGGUUAAAUAUGCUGGUGUUAUUUUUUUCCUAAUGUGUCUGAGAUUCUUGCCUAAACAGCAAUCUUAGCCAGAACACGGACAUUGUCUCUAAGUUAGGUGGAUGGCAGGGAGUUAAGGGAUGGAUCAUGAGGAAGAUAAAGUAGGACUGGAAAUAGAGGUGGGAGAGUUAAAGUACCUGUGGAAUUCAUUUUCUGGCCCUAAACCUCUAAUACAUUUGAUGGGCAAUGCUGCUAUCUAGUGGCCAAGUGAGAUGAGCACAGGUUCCAAUUAAAUGGCCACACAAUUUAGGGGCAUUUGUUGUUUGGGAUUUCGUGUCUAGUGUUAAGAUUAUUUUGCUUUUAAAUUAUAAAAUGAAAAAACAGACAUUUUGCCCAAGCACAUAACUUUGCAUAAAAGAAUGCUUGUGACUUUUCUCCAUUCCUUCACUUUUUCUCCAUGAUGUCCUUUGAGGCAGUGUAGGGCCUUCCCAGCAAACCCCUUAGUCCUUUUACCUGAAAUGGCCUAGGAAAGUUGGCACCUCUCAUACCCUUUAGGUGCAUCCUUCUUAAGAACCACAGGGGAAGGCGUGGGGUGGCAAUGUGCCCUCACUUCUCCCUUCCAUUGGAAGACUCUGACCUUAUUUCCUCAUAUGGCUGCUUCCUUCUCAUCACUUAGCUCCGUUCAGAGCCCACCUGACUACAGCAGCACCAAUCCACCCCCACCUUCCCAGGGUAUCAAUCCUCGGCACAUUAACAUUCUUCUGGCUUCAUACAGCUCAUCGCCUUUCAAAAUUGUUUACUUGUUUCUUUAUUUUGCGUCUCUCUCUUUCCCAUCAUAAUACAAGCUUUAUAACAGCAGGGACCUUAUCUGUUUUUUUCACUGAUAUCUCUCCAAACACUGGGAAAUAUUGUAAGUGCUUGGCAGACAGCAGACUCUUAAUAAAUACUUUUGGAUGAAUGAAUGAGUGAUUGAGAGAAUAUCUAUCUCCUAAGCCUUUUCCUCCAAUAGCAGUAUUUUUGGCUAAUAUCUUACCACUGCUAAUGUUAGAUAAAUGGGAUGUGGAGGUGUAGAAUUUCACUUGGCAACUGUAAGGUAUGAAAUCUCUGACUAUGCAUUGGCAGAGGUAGCAGAUUAUGAUUAAAAACUAUUAGUACCAGGUUUAAUUUAAUUGUUUAAGUCUGAUAAUUAUGUUUAUCCCUGUAUACUCAGCAAAAAGUCCUAUAAUAUACAGGUACAGUUUUUCUAAAACAAUAGAAAAACACAAAAAAGAUAUACAAAAGAGUAAGAAGAUAAAGGAAAUUUUCAUGGUCUUGUUACGAAUCUUGUAAAUACAUGUCAGUUGGUAGUAGACACAAUUUAAUUGAUUUAAGAAGAUUUUUUUAAAGAAAGGAGUUCCCUGGUGGCCUAUCGGAUUAAGGAUCCAGUGUUGUCACUGCUGUGGAAUGGGUUCAGUCCCUGGCCUGGGAAUUUCCACAUGCUGCAUGUGCAGCCAAAAAAAAAAAAAAA
rnacentral:lncRNA from 1 species